rnacentral:rRNA from 1 species
UACGAAGGGGGCUAGCGUUGCUCGGAAUCACUGGGCGUAAAGGGCGCGUAGGUGGCGGGACAAGCGUGCGGUGAAAGCCUGGGGCUCAACCCCGGGUCGGCCGUGCGAACUGUUUUGCUUGAGCACUGUAGAGGCAGGCGGAAUUCCGGGUGUAGCGGUGGAAUGCGUAGAGAUCCGGAAGAACACCCGUGGCUAAGGCGGCUCUCUAGUACGGUACUGACGCUGAGACGCGAAAGCGUGGGGAGCGAACAGG